UGGGGAAUAUUGGACAAUGGGGGAAACCCUGAUCCAGCAAUGCCGCGUGUGUGAAGAAGGCCUUCGGGUUGUAAAGCACUUUCGGUUGGGAGGACUGCUUCUAUCACUAAUAUUGUUGGAAGUUGACGUUACCUUCAGAAGAAGCACCGGCUAACUCCGUGC
rnacentral:rRNA from 1 species